rnacentral:rRNA from 1 species
GACCUGCAGUGGGUACGGGCACACUAGAGUGCGGUAGGGGAGAUUGGAAUUCCUGGUGUAGCGGUGGAAUGCGCAGAUAUCAGGAGGAACACCAAUGGCGAAGGCAGAUCUCUGGGCCGUAACUGACGCUGAGGAGCGAAAGCGUGGGGAGCGAACAGGAUUAGAUACCCUGGUAGUCCACGCCGUAAACGGUGGGAACUAGAUGUGGGGUCCGUUCCACGGAUUCCGUGUCGCAGCCAACGCAUUAAGUUCCCCGCCUGGGGAGUACGGCCGCAAGGCUAAAACUCAAAGGAAUUGACGGGGGCCCGCACAAGCGGCGGAGCAUGCGGAUUAAUUCGAUGCAACGCGAAGAACCUUACCAAGGCUUGACAUAUAGAGGAAAGGUGCAGAAAU